UACGUAGUUAGCCGGGGCUUCUUAGUCAGGUACCGUCAUUUUCUUCCCUGCUGAUAGAGCUUUACAUACCGAAAUACUUCCUCACUCACGCGGCGUCGCUGCAUCAGGGUUUCCCCCAUUGUGCAAUAUUCCCCACUGCUGCCUCCCGUAGGAGUUUGGGCCGUGUCUCAGUCCCAAUGUGGCCGUCCACCCUCUCAGGCCGGCUACUGAUCGUAGGCUUGGUAGGCCUCUACCCUGCCAACUACCUAAUCAGACGCGGGCCCAUCUUACACCACCGGAGUUUUUACCACCCUGCCAUGCGGCAAUGUGGUCUUAUGCGGUAUUAGCAGUCAUUUCUAACUGUUAUCCCCCUGUGUAAGGCAGGUUGCCCACGCGUUACUCACCCGUCCGCCGCUCAGUCACUUCCUCGUCCCUCCGAAGAGUUCUAAUGAAGUGCUUCGCUCGACUUGCAUGUGUUAGGCACGCCGCCAGCGUUCAUCCUGAGCCAGGAUCAAACUAC
rnacentral:rRNA from 1 species